CCGCUGUCGCACUAGGCAGGGUAGAUUCAAGCGGUGUAGGUCUGGAGAUCGUCGGUACCGUGUAAGUGUGGGCUGUAAACGCCGGCGAUGUCGGUCUAGAUCUAGACGAAGAGCACGCUACUCGUGGCGUUGUCGGUCGCGGUCGGGCUCCUUCAAACGCUGUAAUCGAUGUGAUAGAAGAUACCGCUUGCGACGCAGGUCUCGAUCUUAACAAUAGCGACCAGAUUAUCCUUAAACGAUUGUUCGUCUGUGCUUAGUCAACGAUGUGUUCGAAAUUGUUU